GACGAACGCUGGCGGCGUGCUUAACACAUGCAAGUCGAACGGAAAGGCCCUGCUUUUGUGGGGUGCUCGAGUGGCGAACGGGUGAGUAACACGAGAGUAACCUGCCCUUGACUUUGGGAUAACUUCAGGAAACUGGGGCUAAUACCGGAUAGGAGCUCCUGCUGCAUGGAGGGGGUGGGAAAGUUUCGGCCGGUGGGGCUGGACUCGCGGCUUAUGAGCUUGCUGGUGGGGGAGUGGCAUACCAAGUCUUUGAACGGUAGGCGGCCGGAGAGGGUGGCCGGGCACCUUGGUCCUGCGGUACGGCCCAGUCUCCUACGGUAGGCAGCGGUGGGGAAUAUUGCCCAACGGGCGGACGCCUGAUGCGGCGACGCCGCGUUCGUGAUGACGGCCUUCGGGUUGUAAACCGCUUUCGGCUGUGACGAAGCGUGAGUGACGGUAAUGGGUAAAGAAGCACCGGCUAACUACGUG
rnacentral:rRNA from 1 species